AUUGAACGCUGGCGGCAGGCCUAACACAUGCAAGUCGAACGAGUGGCGGACGGGUGAGUAAUGUCUGGGCAACUGCCUGAUGGAGGGGGAUCACUACUGGAAACUGUUGCUACUACCGCCUACCAUCGGAUGUGCCCAGAUGGGAUUAGCUAGUAGGUGGGGUAAAGGCUCACCUAGGCGACGAUCCGUAGCUGGUCUGAGAGGAUGACCAGUCACACUGGAACUGAGACACGGUCCAGACUCCUACGGGAGGCAGCAGUGGGGAAUAUUGCACAAUGGGCGAAAGCCUGAUGCAGCCAUGCCGCGUGUGUGAAGAAGGUCUUCGGGUUGUAAAGUACUUUCAGCGGGGAGGCGUUACCCACAGAAGAAGCACCGGCUAACUCCGUGCCAGCAGCCGCGGUAAUUC
rnacentral:rRNA from 1 species